UUUGCACUAUAUAAUGUAAAAUGAAUAUGAUCAAACGAAUUAGUGAAGUAUUAGUGUAUACUGUUUAGGAUUAUUUACGUUAGUUUAAGUUUAUUUUCUAAUAAUGUCAAGUUUUGAUCUAGCAAUACUGUCUUAUCUAAGUUUUAUAUUUGUCAUCUCUCGUUUAUCAUUAAUUUCCUGUACAAUUAUCUUUGUUUAUGCAUAUUUAAAGUUACGAUAUUUUAAAUUCCGUUGAACUCCUAUAAACGUCGGAGGACAUGUGUAUACGAUUUCUUCUCUGAUUGUAACUCGGUGCUGGUUGUACUUAUCUCUGGUUUGGUGUCAAGCAAACCGUUCACACUCGUACAAUACCCAAUAAAGCAUUGAGAACUCUACCCGCUGCAGUGAAAGCAAUAAAGCGCAUACAUGCACGUGUCUCGGAAGGGGCCAUGGAAGGUCGUGAUGUGUUUCACUUUCAACAGGACAUUGAUUUGGUGGACAACCGGUUUGCUACGCCUGGAACUAUCGGCGCUGACGUGUGGGGGCGACUCAUAGAAGGUGGAGGACCAAACGAACUUUUUGCCCAGCGUACUUUGGGGUGGUGGUUUUGGAUGGGUGGUUUUUGGUUCAGCAGCAGUGACCUUUCCUGCAAAGGAAUCAUUUCUCCAAUUCACCACUUCGCUAGACAGGGAGGACCACUGGUUGGAGGAACUGUUGUCCAACUUUUGGCAAAUGGAGGAAAUCGCAGUGUUUGAUGAUCUGCUAGAGAAUAAAUGUGGGAAGAUCUUCGAGACCACUUAUAGCCGUACCUCAUACGGCCGUUAUAUCGUACACUUACGCUUUCGACGAAAGGCAACGGGAUUAGGUGACUCCUACGCACUGGCAUUUCAUAGGCUAGAGCGGCGCAUGGUUGCGGAUCCAGUCCUUAAGCAAAACUACAUUUCAUUUAUGAGGGAGUAUGCAGCACUCGGACACAUGGAACUAGUACAACCACCUUACGAUCAUACUAAUUGCUAAUACAUUCCUCAUCAUGCGGUCACAUCGUAGUUCCGCGUGGUGUUCAACUGGUAGGUCCAACAAUUCAGAAUUCACUGAGUAGUAUACUUUUACGUUUUCGUCUCUGUCGAAUGGCGAUAACUGCGGACAUAGAGAAGAUAGAGAAGAUGUUCAGGCAAGAGUUAGUUGCAUCUGAACAUCGUGACUAUCAACGAAUAAUAUGGCAAGAGUCUUCUGAAGACGAGAUCCGGGUGUAUCGCCUGAAGACCAUCACAUAUGUCAUGCCAUGCAGUCCUUACAAUGCAGUACGAACCCUACAACAUUCAUUCCCUUUACAAUUAUCAUACAUAUGUGUACGAUUUCUUCUCUGAUUGUAACUCGGUGCUGAUUGUAAUCAUCUUUGGUUUGGUGUCAAGCAAACCGUUCACAACCGUACAAAUCCCAAAAAGCAUUGAGAACUCAAACCGCUGGUAAAUUAAUUAUUUAACAUAUAUAAAAGUGAAAAAUAUAAGUGUAAAAUUCAUUUAGAAUCGAAAAAAUA